GACGAACGCUGACGGCGUGCUUAACACAUGCAAGUCGAACGGAAAGGCCCUGCUUUUGUGGGGUGCUCGAGUGGCGAGCGGGUGAGUAACACGUGAGUAACCUGCCCUUGACUUUGGGAUAACUUCAGGAAACUGGGGCUAAUACCGGAUAGGAGCUCCUGCUGCAUGGUGGGGGUUGGAAAGUUUCGGCGGUUGGGGAUGGACUCGCGGCUUAUCAGCUUGUUGGUGGGGUAGUGGCUUACCAAGGCUUUGACGGGUAGCCGGCCUGAGAGGGUGACCGGCUACAUUGGGACUGAGAUACGGCCCAGACUCCUACGGGAGGCAGCAGUGGGGAAUAUUGCACAAUGGGCGGAAGCCUGAUGCAGCAACGCCGCGUGCGGGAUGACGGCCUUCGGGUUGUAAACCGCUUUCGCCUGUGACGAAGCGUGAGUGACGGUAAUGGGUAAAGAAGCACCGGCUAACUACGUG
rnacentral:rRNA from 1 species